rnacentral:rRNA from 1 species
GGAGCGACGCCGCGUGGGGGAUGAAUGGCUUCGGCCCGUAAACCCCUGUCAUGCGCGAGCAAUUCGGAUGAACUAACACGUCAUCUGUUGAUAGUAGCGCAAGAGGAAGGGACGGCUAACUCUGUGCCAGCAGCCGCGGUAAUACAGAGGUCCCAAGCGUUGUUCGGAUUCACUGGGCGUAAAGGGUGCGUAGGUGGUCGGGUAAGUCUUAUGUGAAAUCCCACGGCUUAACCGUGGAACGGCAUUGGAUACUAUCCGGCUCGAGGGUUGGAGGGGGGACUGGAAUUCUCGGUGUAGCAGUGAAAUGCGUAGAUAUCGAGAGGAACACCUGUGGCGAAGGCGGGUCCCUGGACAACUCCUGACACUGAGGCACGAAAGCUAGGGGAGCAAACAGGAUUAGAUACCCUGGUAGUCCUAGCCUUAAACGGUGCACGUUUGCUGUGAGAGGAAUCGACCCCUUUCGUGGCGUAGCUAACGCGUUAAACGUGCCGCCUGGGGAGUACGGCCGCAAGGUUA